rnacentral:rRNA from 1 species
UGCCAGCAGCCGCGGUAAUACGGGGGAUCCAAGCGUUAUCCGGAAUUAUUGGGUUUAAAGGGUCCGCAGGCUGUUUGUUAAGUCAGGGGUGAAAUCCUACUGCUCAACUGUAGCAUUGCCUUUGAUACUGCCAGACUUGAGUUAUUGUGAAGUAGUUAGAAUGUGUAGUGUAGCGGUGAAAUGCAUAGAUAUUACACAGAAUACCAAUUGCGAAGGCAGAUCACUAACACUAUAUUGACGCUGAGGGACGAAAGUGUGGGGAGCAAACAGGAUUAGAUA